rnacentral:rRNA from 1 species
CAAUAGUGUAUAUUAAAGUUGUUGCAGUUAAAAAGCUCGUAGUUGGAUUUCGGAACAUUACACAUCAAGGUCCAUCGAAUAAGAUGCUGUACCAGUUGUGUAGUUCCUCUUUUUUCGGUUUCGAUCUGCAUUCGCCUCUCCAGUUAGAGGGCUUGCUGUUAUGUUCGUACCGAAUAAUUUUACUUUGAAAAAAUUAGAGUGUUCAAAGCAGGCGUAAUUUUGCCUUGAAUACAUUAGCAUGGGAUAAUGGAAAAGGACUUUGGUCUUAUUUUCGUUGGUUUCUGAGGCUGAGGUAAUGAUUAAUAGGGACAGUUGGGGUCAGCUGUAUUCUCUUGUCAGAGGUGAAAUUCUAAGAUUGAGAGAAGACAAACUACUGCGAAAGCAUUUGACAAGGAUGUUUUCAUUAA